rnacentral:lncRNA from 1 species
CCUUGACAUUAAUGUUUGAACAAUGAACUGAUACACAAUACUCAAGUCAUCAGAUGAAACUGAAACAAGAAGAACUUUUGUUUUGAAGGCCCCUAUCUUGCUGUACUAAAUGAAGACAUUGAAUCGCAGCCUGUCCACCAUGGUUUAUAAUUUCUCCCUGAUAGAGGACUGAUACAAUACCCAUGGAAGUCAAUGGAAGGUUAUCAAGACUUACAGGAAUAAUUUACCACAACUAAACGUCUGCUUUGUCUACAGAGAUAUGAGAAUUGCACAGAAUAAGUCAGAUGCCUUGAAUAUGUGGA